GGGCAGGUAGCUCAGUGGUAGAGCACCUGGCACUAGUGUAGGAGGUCUUGGGUUUAAUCCCUGGCCUGUCUA
rnacentral:tRNA from 1 species